rnacentral:tRNA from 1 species
GCCUGGGUGGCUUAGUCAGUUAAGCAUCCGACUUCGGUUCAGAUCAUGGUCUCACAGUUUGUAGGUUCAAGCCCCAUAUCAGGCU